CACGUAGGGCGCAAGCGUUGUCCGGAAUUACUGGGCGUAAAGCGAGUGUAGGCGGUUUCCUAAGUCGGAUGUGAAAGCCCCGGGCUCAACCCGGGAAGUGCAUUCGAAACUGGGAGGCUAGAGUGUCGGAGAGGUUGGUGGAAUUCUCGGUGUAGAGGUGAAAUUCGUAGAUAUCGAGAGGAACACCGGUGGCGAAGGCGGCCAACUGGACGAACACUGACGCUGAGACUCGAAAGCGUGGGGAGCAAACAGG
rnacentral:rRNA from 1 species